UACUAUUAUAUAAAAUAAAAUUUUAUAAAAAAAAAUAGUUUUUAAAAAAAUUUAUUUAAAUUUAAAAUUUAAAUAAAAUUAAUAAAAUAUUUUAAAGUAAAAUAAAUUUUUUACCUUUUGUAUCAGGGAAAAUUAAAAUUUAAUUUUAAUUAAAUUAUUCUCGAAAUAAAAAGACCUAAAUUUAUACAUUUAUUAAUAUUGCAAUAUUAAAAAAAAAUUUAAAUUUUGUAAUUAUAUAUUAUUCAAUUUUUAUAAUAUCUAGUUAUUUAAGAAAUGAAUUUAAUUCAGUUAUAUAAUUUUUAAUUAAUUAAAAUAAAUAAAUUAUAUAAUAAUAAUAUUUGGGAUAAACUUUAUAUUAAAUAUAAAAUUAAAAAUAAAUUUUAAAUAAUAUAAAAUUAAAAAUAUUUUUUAUUAAUAAAAAUUUAAUAAUUUAAUCAAUAAAAAAUAAUUUUAUUUUAAUUUAUAAAUAUAUUAAAUUAAUAUAAUAAAUUUAACAAAAUUUUUAAUAAUGAUUUUAUUAGUAAAUUAAAAAUUUUAAUAAUAUAAUUUUUAUUAUAAAAUUAAAUUAAGGAACUAGGCAAAUUUAUAUUCACCUGUUUAUCAAAAACAUGUUUUAUAGAAUAAUAAUUAUAAAUCAAAUCUGCUCAAUGAAAUUUAAAUAGCUGCAGUAUUAAUGACUGUACUAAGGUAGCAUAAUCAUUAGGUUUUUAAUUUAAAUCUAGAAUAAAAGAUUAAAUGAAAUAUAAACUGUCUCAAUUAAAUAAAUUAAAUUUAUUUUUAAGUAAAAAAACUUAAAUAAUUUUAAAAGACGAGAAGACCCUAUAGAAUUUUAUUACUUAAAAUAUUUAUUUAUUAUAAUAAUAUAUUUAUAUUAAAUAUUUUAAAUAAUUUAAUUGGGGCAAUUUUAAAAUUAAUUAAACUUUUAAUUUUUCACACAUUAAUAAAUGAAUUAAUAAACCUUAUUAAAGAAAAAAUAUUAAUUACCUUAGGGAUAACAGCAUAAUUUUUUUUUUUAGUUCUUAUAAAUAAAAAAGUUUAUGACCUCGAUGUUGAAUUAAGAUUAAAUAAAUAGAAAAAAAUUUAUAAUUUAAGUCUGUUCGACUUUUAAAAUCUUACAUGAUUUGAGUUAAAAUCGGCGUAAGCCAGAUUGGAUUCUAUCUUUAAAUCAAAUAAAUAUUUUUGUACGAAAGGAAUAAAUAUUUAAAAUAAUUUUUAAAUUUUAAAU
rnacentral:rRNA from 1 species